AACGGACGGUGGGGCAUGCACUACCAUGCAGUCGAGCAGCACACCACCGGUACUUCGGUCUGUGUGGCGAGUGGCGAACGGGUGAGUAAUACAUCGGAACGUGCCCAAUCGUGGGGGAUAACGUAACGAAAGCUACGCUAAUACCGCAUACGAUCUAAGGAUGAAAGCGGGGGAUCGCAAGACCUCGCGCGAAUGGAGCGGCCGAUGGCAUAUUAGGUAGUUGGUAGGGUAAAGGCCUACCAAGCCGACGAUCUGUAGCUGGUCUGAGAGGAUGAUCAGCCACACUGGGACUGAGACACGGCCCAGACUCCUACGGGAGGCAGCAGUGGGGAAUUUUGGACAAUGGACGCAAGUCUGAUCCAGCCAUUCCGCGUGAAGGAUGAAGGCCCUCGGGUUGUAAACUGCUUUUGUACAGAACGAAGAGGCUCUGGUUAAUACCUGGGGCUCAUGACGGUACUGUAAGAAUAAGCACCGGCUAACUACGUGCCAGCAGCCGCGGUAAUACGUAGGGUGCAAGCGUUAAUCGGAAUUACUGGGCGUAAAGCGUGCGCAGGCGAUGAUGUAAGACAGAGGUGAAAUCCCCGGGCUCAACCUGGGAACUGCCUUUGUGACUGCAUCGCUGGAGUACGGCAGAGGGGGAUGGAAUUCCGCGUGUAACAGUGAAAUGCGUAGAUGUGCGGAGGAACACCGAUGGAGAAUGCCAUCCCCUGGGCCUGUACUGACGCUCAUGCACGAAAACGUGCGGAGCAAACAGGAUUAGAUACCCUGGGAGUCCACGCCCUAAACGAUGUCAACUGGGUGUUGGGGCUUCACUGACUCAGUAACGACCCUAACGCGUGGAAGUUGACCGCCCUGGGGAGUACGGCCGCAAGGUUGAAACUCACAGGAAUUGACGGGGAACCCGCACAAUCGGUGGGAUGAUGUGGGUUUAAUUCGAUGCAACGCGUAAAAACCUUACCCACCUUUUGACAUGUACGGGAAGUUGCCUAGAGAAUGGCUUCCUUGCUCGAAAGAAAAGCCGUAACACAGGGGGCUGCAUGGAAUGUCGUCAACUCCUUGUCCUGAAAAUAAUUGGGUUUAAUUCCCCCCAACGAACCGCC
rnacentral:rRNA from 1 species